UGCCAGCCGCCGCGGUAAUACGGAGGGGGUUAGCGUUGUUCGGAAUUACUGGGCGUAAAGCGCACGUAGGCGGACUGGAAAGUUGGGGGUGAAAUCCCAGGGCUCAACCCUGGAACUGCCUCCAAAACUAUCAGUCUAGAGUUCGAGAGAGGUGAGUGGAAUUCCGAGUGUAGAGGUGAAAUUCUUAGAUAUUAGGGAGAACACCGGUGGCGAAGGCGGCCCACUGGUCCGGUACUGACGCUGAGGUGCGAAAGCGUGGGGAGCAAACAGGAUUAGAUA
rnacentral:rRNA from 1 species